rnacentral:rRNA from 1 species
UUUAGAGGAAGUAAAAGUCGUAACAAGGUUUCCGUAGGUGAACCUGCGGAAGGAUCAUUACCGAGUUAGGGUCUCUGGCCCAACCUCCAACCCCUUGUAUACCACCAAGUGUUUACUGUUGCUUCGGUGGGCUUUACAUGCCCACCGAAGCCCAACAAAAAAAAACUUUUCAAUGAUGUUGUCUGAGUUGUAACUAAAUAAUCAAAACUUUCAACAACGGAUCUCUUGGUUCCCGCAUCGAUGAAGAACGCAGCGAAAUGCGAUAAGUAAUGUGAAUUGCAGAAUUCAGUGAAUCAUCGAAUCUUUGAACGCACAUUGCGCCCUUUGGUAUUCCGAAGGGCAUGCCUGUUCGAGCGUCAUGAUCAACCUCAAGCUAGGGCUUGGUAUUGGGCUGUCGUCUUUAUCAGAGACGUGCCUGAAAAUCAAUGGCGAUGCCUCAAUAGGCUCAAGCGUAGCAGACUGACUCGCUUUAGAGACUUUUGUAGGUGCUGUCAACCAAAACAAAUCAAGUUGGACCUCGGAUCAGGUAGGGAUACCCGCUGAACUUAAGCAUAUCAAUAAG